rnacentral:tRNA from 1 species
GGGCGGAUAGCUCAGUUGGGAGAGCGCAGCCCUUACAAGGCUGAGGUCACAGGUUCGAGCCCUGUUCCGCCUACCA